CACGUAGUUAGCCGGAGCUUCUUCUGGAGGUACCGUCAAUCCACACGGCUAUUCACCGGUGAACCUUCGUCCCUCCUGAAAGGGGUUUACAACCCGAAGGCCGUCUUCCCCCACGCGGCGUUGCUGCGUCACGCUUUCGCGCAUUGCGCAAGAUUCCCCACUGCUGCCUCCCGUGGGAGUCUGGGCCGUGUCUCAGUCCCAGUGUGGCUGAUCGUCCUCUCAGACCAGCUACCCAUCGUUGCCUUGGUGAGCCGUUACCUCACCAACAAGCUAAUGGGCCGCGACGCCCCCUCCAAUGCGGAGGCCGAAGCCUUCCUUAGCGCACAAACUUACGAUUGUGCGCCACAUCCGGUAUUACGCCCGAGUUUCCGCGGGUUCGUCCCGGUCAGUCGGGGCAGGUUACUCACGUGUUACUCACCGUUCGCGGCUUGGCCCAGGCAGCCCUGUCGUCGCACCACUUGCAUGUAGUUAA
rnacentral:rRNA from 1 species